ACAAAACUCAAUUCGCAAACUAUUAUUUUACAUCUAAUCAAAUCGAAGUCAUAGUUACGCUUUAAUGUGUACUUAUAUCUCAGAUCCCCGAGCAUGAGAACAAAACUCAAUUCUCGGAUUAUUAUUUCAGAUCCACAGCUCAGGAGGAAGCUUCUUGCUGGAAAUGGAUCAAACCACCUUCUCAAAACAUAAUAGCGGAAAGAAGUGGAGAACCAAAAGCAAGGUCAAGUAAUAAGGCAACAAUAUGAAAACAUGUCAAUUAUGGAAGAAUUGCAUAUAGAAUGAUUUGCUUCAACUCUUUUAUCCUUUUGGAGUCACUAGAAAGCUUGAGGUGUUGCGUGCCAAGAAUCGGGUUUUCUUCAUGCCUCCAAAUAAACUAUUUCUAAUUCAAAUGUCUCAAGCUUACACGAACUGGCGAGAGAAAUGGUAGACUGUGCCAAGUUCACAGUUCCACCA